rnacentral:lncRNA from 1 species
AACAUUUUAAUGUAUUUUUAUUUUUAAUUAACAAUCACUAUUUUUGAUAUAUUUUAUUUGUAAUUUCUAUAUAUGUUAUUGCUAUUUUUUGUAUAAAAAAUGUCUAAGUCAUCUUUUAAAAAAACUAAAAUUACUGCAAAACUAAAAAGUAAAAACCAAAACCAAAAACUGAAAACUAAAACAAAAUCUUAAAAAUCAAAAACCAAAAUCUAAAAACUAAAACCAAA